UGGAGAAACAAGUGUUGGGAAAGAGAGUGAGUCUGGAAACCAUGAUGAAGAACAUAUUUUGGCAAAUGAGUAAAUUAAGUGAUCAUUUUUGGACAGGCUAGUAUUUGGAAGUGGAAGUAAUUUUACUACAGUUACCAUCCAAGUGACUGAAGUAAAAAGGUGGCGGAUCCAAUCCUUUGGGUUCUCUCUUGCUAAUGCCAAGAAAACAUAAUGGCCUUCAAUUCAAGGGGCACCAAAUGCUGACAUGCAAUUUAUUUGAGGACACCAAAAUUGGAAGUUUCAUAUAUGAUUUAUUGUUUGUGCUAUAAUGUGUUGGCUUUAUUUUCUCCCAUAUUCUUUUUCUGCUCGAGUGUGAAUACCGUUGGUGUGUUUUGCUGAAGAUUGUUUAGCUAUGGUUGAAGUGUAUUUUAUUUAUUUAUUUUGGUAUGGAGUUAUGGUUGAAAUA